rnacentral:tRNA from 1 species
GAGGGUAUAGCUCAGUGGUAGAGUGCGUGCUUAGCAUGCAGAAGGUCCUGAGUUCAAUCCCUAGUACCACCA